rnacentral:lncRNA from 1 species
ACAACACAGGGUGGCCAUCCUUGAAAAUGACCAAGAAACAUGCUGGGUGCAGGAGCAAGGGAACCAAAGACAGACCAGGGCACAGUAAUGGAGAUGAGGCAGGAGAUGAGGAGGGGCUGGGGCAGGCGCACCAAGCGCCAAGACCCAACAACCCUUCCCUCCACCUCAUUAGGGCAUUUCUGUGGUCCAAGAUGGCCACAGCUCUGGUGUGGCAUGCACCUGGGACCACACAGUUAAAACCUGAGUCUUCAGAGCCCUGAGCAAGCACACAUGGACACAAGCAUGCUCACUAGCAUACACGCACCACCACCACCACCACCACCCCCCUCCCAGUAGCUGUCCAGGGCUUCCGCUGGGAUAGACUUUGGAAACCUGAAGAAAUACACUCCAUUCCUUCAACCCCACUG